ensembl:lncRNA
CUGGUCAGUUGAUAUUUGAUUCAGGUCUGGUCAGUAGUCAGUAGAUAUUUGAUCCAGGUCUGGUCAGUUGUCAGCUGAUAUUUAAUCCAGGUCUGGUCAGCUGAUAUUUAAUCCAGGUCUGGUCAGUUGAUAUUUGAUCCAGGUCUGGUCAGUAGUCAGCUGAUAUUUGAUCCAGGUCUGGUCAGUAGUCAGCUGAUAUUUAAUCCAGGUCUGGUCAGUAGUCAGCUGAUAUUUGAUCCAGUUCUGGUCAGUAGUCAGUUGAUAUUUGAUCCAGGUCUGGUCAGUAGUCAGUUGAUAUUUAAUCCAGGUAUGGUCAGUUGAUAUUUAAUCCAGGUCUGGUCAGUGGUCGGUCAGUAAUGUAACAGUGAAGACAUAUCUAACAGUAAAAGUCUUGGACAGGACAGGAGGAGUGUGUUGUUUGGAAAAAGGACUUCCCAGAACGUCUGUGAUUGUUUUUGUCUCGGAGAACAGAGUGGAGAGACGGAGAGAGUGUACACAUGUGUUUGGUCAUUUCUCCUCUUCGUUUUGUUCUACUUCCUGUAUCACACGGGAACAGCCAAUCAGUUCAUGCGUUGCAGUAACGAUGAUGACUAGUGAAUAGUCUAGAAUCUUCCUCUGUGUUUGGGCUGGUGGUGAUGACGACGCCCAGGAGAGAUGCAGCCCAACCGGAAUACAUGUUAGUGUGAGACUGAGCGUUGUCACGACAACAACCUCCACUGUGUUCCUGUGGAUUUACACAUCACGGUAUUAAUGCUUAGACUGGACGCAUGGUUUCAUGGGGAAUCCAUUACCUACGAAGCUAUGACAAAGUGUGUGUCUCACACUCACACGCACACACACACACACACACACACACACACACACACUUUGACACCACUACCCUUUUGACACACAUCCCUCAGCAAAUUCAGGUCCUUUAGUUUUAGUGUUUUGUGAGUUUUAUUGCUGAAAAAAAUGCAACUGUUAUUGUCGUGUUAUUUCCACAUCACUGAUAUACACCCAGCCCAAAGAAUGUAACGGAGAAAGAGACUUAAUGUAUGUAUCUUGUUUGACUGUGUCCCAAAUGACACCCUAUUUCCUAUAUAGUGCGCUACGUUUUAUCCAGAGCUGGUCUAAAGUAGUGCACUAUGUGUAUGAAACAGGGUGGGACGUAGCCAUUCUGCUGUAGAAGAGAAACAGGCUUGUGUAAUGAAGUGGUUCAAUCAUGUUCCAUUCAAUGGUAUGAGAAUCGAGUUCUGAAAUUCUAUGUUCUGAUUCUAUGAUUCCGUUGUUCCGAUGUUACUGUAACAAGCAGCUCAGAAACCUUACUUACCAGGUAACUCCACUUACCAGGUAACUCCACUUACCAGGUAACUCCAACUAGUUUAAUGUACACUUACCAGGUAACUCCACUUACCAGGUAACUCCACUUACCAGGUAACCCCAACUAGUUUAAUGUACACUUACCAGGUAACUCCAACUAGUUUAAUGUACACUUACCAGGUAACUCCACUUACCAGGUAACCCCAACUAGUUUAAUGUACACUUACCAGGUAACCCCAACUAGUUUAAUGUACACUUACCAGGUAACUCCAACUAGUUUACUCUACACUUACCAGGUAACCCCAACUAGUUUUAAUGUACACUUACCAGGUAACCCCAACUAGUUUAAUGUACACUUACCAGGUAACUCCAACUAGUUUACUCUACACUUACCAGGUAACCCCAACUAGUUUUAAUGUACACUUACCAGGUAAUCCCAACUAGUAUACUGUACACUUACCAGGUAAUCCCAACUAGAUUACUCUACACUUACCAGGUAACUCCAACUAGUUUUAAUGUACACUUACCAGGUAAUCCCAACUAGUUUUCUCUACCCUUACCAGGUAAUCCCAACUAGUAUACUGUACACUUACCAGGUAACUCCAACUAGUUUUAAUGGGGCUCUGCUGGCAUUUCCUCUUCUCUGUCACCAGGUGUCUCCUCCCAACAUAGUGUUUCCUGUAUUCUAAACCCUUCUCCUCCUGCUCUCCCAAAGCAACAUGGAAACAGUAUUCUAAACCCUUCUCCUCCUGCUCUCCCUCGGUCAAUAUGAAAAUAAAACCCAAUUUACAAAUGUAUUGUUGGUUGUGUGUUUUUGUCGCUUACUUUACAGGAGCAGUGACGGCCUCCACUGGAACACACACACACACACACACACACACACACACACACACACACACACACACACACACACACACACACAGGAACACACACACACACACACACAGGAACACACACACACACACACACACA